GAUGAAGAACGUAGCGAAAUGCGAUAAGUAAUGUGAAUUGCAGAAUUCCGUGAAUCAUCGAGUCUUUGAACGCACAUUGCGCCCCCUGGUAUUCCGGGGGGCAUGCCUGUCCGAGCGUCAUUGCUGCCCAUCAAGCACGGCUUGUGUGUUAGGUCCCGUCCCCCUCUCCCGGGGGACGGACCCGAAAGGCAGCGGCGGCACCGCGUCCGGUCCUCGAGCGUAUGGGGCUUUGUCACCCGCUCUUGUAGGCCCGGCCGGCGCUUGCCGACACCCAACCAUUUUUUUCAGGUUGACCUCGGAUCAGGUAGGGAUACCCGCUGAACUUAAGCAUAUCAAUAAGCGGAGGA
rnacentral:misc_RNA from 1 species